CAGACCCCCAGCACCAAUGAGCGGCUGGCAUCGAUGGAGAUGGGCCAGCUCAUUCACGCCCGGACGGAGGCCGGGCCCCACACCCAAAGAUCUUUUUUGGGCAGGGAACGGACUGGGACCAUACCUCCGCAGAGGAAGAG
rnacentral:sRNA from 1 species